UGUGUAGGCCCACGGUGAUAAGCAACCUGAAGAAUCGGAGCCACCAACUACAAGUCAGGACAUUAGACCUGGUGAAGAGGAAAAGGAUGAAGGAGCAUCUUCAUUUCAAGUGGGAAAUAUCUUUCGGAGAGUAAAGUCAACAUACAGACCUAGGAAAAGAAGUUAUGAUCAAGCAUGUGUCAAUCCAGUUGUGCCUGUGGUUGCCCACGGUGAUAAGCAACCUCAAGAAUGGGAGCCACCAACUUCAAGUCAGGACAUUAAACCUGGUGAAGCAAAAGAGGAUGAAGGAGCAUCUGCAGUUGAAGUGGGAAAUAUCUUUCGGAGAGUAAAGUCAACAUACAGACCUAGGAAAAGAAGUUAUGAUCAAGCAUUUGUCAAUCCAGUUCAGCCUGUGGUUG